ACAGCAGCCCUGCUGCCUUCCUGUCAGUGCUGUCUUGCCGAGUGAGACCAGGCUGAGGAAGGUCACAGACAGCUGAAUCUGGACCAGCGACACUUCCCAGGCUCCUCCUGCUGGGCCCAGGCCCCGACUACCCUGCCCUCUCUCACCACUUCCGCCAUGCUGCAGAGCCACCACAAGCUAAACUGCCAGCUGUGGGCGUCCUCAAGGUGGGCAUUUCCCUUUUCUUCCAACCGUGGCACCCACCAUGAAGCCAGGACAGCACAGGGAUACCCCCAGACAAUCCUGGGCCCCCCAUUCUGCAGCACUCUCACAGUUCUCAGCCUUUGGCCCACCAAGAGACUCCAUCUGAUCCACCGUACCUGAAGUCCUACACGAAGACAAUCCCACAUCCCUGAGGGACAUCUUUUUUUCCCCUUCUUUCUUUUCUGUUUGUUUUUCUUUGUGUAGACCCCUGUGCCGGGAGUAAAGGGAAGCACCACC
rnacentral:lncRNA from 1 species